rnacentral:rRNA from 1 species
AACGAACGCUGGCGGCAUGCCUAACACAUGCAAGUCGAACGAGACCUUCGGGUCUAGUGGCGCACGGGUGCGUAACGCGUGGGAACCUGCCCUUAGGUUCGGAAUAACUCCCCGAAAGGGGUGCUAAUACCGGAUAAUGUCUUCGAACCAAAGAUUUAUCGCCUUUGGAUGGGCCCGCGUUGGAUUAGCUAGUUGGUAGGGUAAAAGCCUACCAAGGCGACGAUCCAUAGCUGGUCUGAGAGGAUGAUCAGCCACACUGGGACUGAGACACGGCCCAGACUCCUACGGGAAGCAGCAGUGGGGAAUAUUGGAUAAUGGGCGAAAGCCUGAUCCAGCAAUGCCGCGUGAGUGAUGAAGGCCUUAGGGUUGUAAAGCUCUUUUACCCGGGAUGAUAAUGACAGUACCGGGAGAAUAAGCUCCGGCUAACUCCGUG